rnacentral:rRNA from 1 species
UGGGGAAUAUUGGACAAUGGGCGAAAGCCUGAUCCAGCCAUGCCGCGUGUGUGAAGAAGGUCUUCGGAUUGUAAAGCACUUUAAGUUGGGAGGAAGGGCAGUAAGCGAAUACCUUGCUGUUUUGACGUUACCGACAGAAUAAGCACCGGCUAACUCUGUGCCAGCAGCCGCGGUAAUACAGAGGGUGCAAGCGUUAAUCGGAAUUACUGGGCGUAAAGCGCGCGUAGGUGGUUCGUUAAGUUGAAUGUGAAAGCCCCGGGCUCAACCUGGGAACUGCAUCCAAAACUGGCGAGCUAGAGUAGGGCAGAGGGGGGUGGAAUUUCCUGUGUAGCGGUGAAAUGCGUAGAUAUAGGCAGGAACACCAGUGGCGAAGGCGACCACCUGGGCUCAUACUGCCACUGAGGUGCGAAAGCGUGGGGAGCAAACAGG